UACGUAGGGAGCAAGCGUUGUCCGGAAUCAUUGGGCGUAAAGAGCGCGUAGGCGGCCCUGUAAGUCCGUUCUGAAAGUCAAAGGCUCAACCUUUGAAAGCGGAUGGAUACUGCAGGGCUAGAGUCCGGAAGAGGCGAGUGGAAUUCCUGGUGUAGCGGUGGAAUGCGCAGAUAUCAGGAAGAACACCAAUGGCGAAGGCAGGUCUCUGGGCAUUAACUGACGCUGAGGAGCGAAAGCAUGGGGAGCGAACAGG
rnacentral:rRNA from 1 species